rnacentral:lncRNA from 1 species
AAAUAUGCGAAUAUGGUUGUGGGUGGUAGGAGGAAGAGAGGACGUCCCUGGUACUCGUAUGAAGAGCACAUAAGAAGAUUGGGAGAGGAGGGAGGAAAGACUGUAGGGCGAAUGCGCUGGCUGGCCGUGGUCGGAACAACUGGAGGCGGUGGUCUGACGCUACCCCGACGCUGUGAGGCACAACGGGGCAGAUAAAGAAGAUGAAGAGUUUGAUAAAUUCUGAAACGUUCAAGUAUUAUCAGAAUUUGACUGAUGCGCUGUCUCGUUUCAAAUCAUUCGCAUCUUUGUUCAUAGCCUUCACAAGGUCACUCAAAUCUUCCUGCAAAAGUCAAUAAAAUAGAAUUGAAAAUGAGUUGGUUAUUAAAAAAUACAUUGCAUGUGUUUAAUUCAACACAUCAAAACAUUUCUAGGAUGAAGAUCAAGUAUGAAAUGAAAUAGUAAAUAUAAUUUCUGAAUCUCGCCUAUCACAUUCCAACAGCAUAGCCUAUCCGCUAUUAACAUUGUUUUCUGAAUCAAAAUUGCAAAGCUAUUAAUUAUUGUGGUUUGAAAAAGUAAGGUCUCCAACAUGAAUACAAUUUUCGAUCUUAUUAUUACUUAUAUACCAAUAAUAAUUCUGCAAUAAAAAUAAUAAUUAAUUCAGAAAAAUAAUUGUUUCAAUAACCCGCAAUAAUUAUAACAAUUAUAUAAUAAUAAUAAUGAUAAUUAUUAUUAAUAAUUAUUAAUAAUAAUUAUUAUUUAUUAUCAGUAAACUAUGAUAAUAGUUUGUACAAAAUACAUUAUGAGUUAUUGAUUGUAAGUCUGGUGCUUCUCACCUUUUGUGCUUCCAAUUCCUUGGCUUUGAAAGCUGCAAUUGGAAUUGCACCAGCACCACCGGAUUGGGGUAAGCCGCGGCCAGCCACUUGCGAAUAGUCAUAUUUGGAGAAAGGAUCCUUACCAAGUACAGGCUUCUGGGAUGUCGAGGGUGUGGUAGAAGGUUCGCCAGCUCUUUUAGCAGAGGGCUCUGUUGAUGUACUUGGAAUAGGAUGCUGCCCAGUUGACAUCUAAAACAACCAAAAAUUCCCUUUUAGUAAAAAUAUACUUCUCAUUCACAUUAUUCCAAUAAACUUUUUAUUCCAUGCAUUAUUUGAGCAUUUCAAUAUUUGUAUUAAAACUUAUUCUGGAUGACUAAAAUUGUCGUAAGUAUUUUUAAACACUACUAGUUAUUGUUGUGUAAUGAAGUCUAAGGAGCCAAGUAUUCAAGUUGAUAAGUACGAUAUGUAAGAUCGUGGCUUUUAUUGAGAAAAAAAUGAGUACUCACGUUUAUAAGGCUUACAAUAAUUACAUAAUGGGAUAACAGGCUCAAAAUAUUUUCAAGUGCCUUUGCUGGUGUAUUUAGGGUGCUAAGUGUUUUUUUCUAAAUUACAUUUUUUGUAUUCUACUUUUACUUCCUCUUGAAAUAAUAGACGAAACCCCCUCAUGGAAAAACAUAAUAAUUCAUUUCAAUAAAAUCCAAUAUAAAACAUGGUAUAUUAAUUAAAGAUUCAUGCAUUAUUCUGGAUUUUUAAAAUUAAGUCAAUUAUGAAUUUGUCUCUUGACAAGACACUUACCAAUCUCAACUGAGCAAAUAACGUUUCGAAAGGUACGUAAUUUCCCCAUAAUGUUUUCUGUAAGAAAUAAAGUUAUAUUUAUAUUAUAAAAUACAAAUAGGAAAUGAAUAACUAACUAAAAAAACUUACAACUCAAGAAUGAAAAAGAAAAAUUGUUAUUGAUACCGGUACAUUUUUUGCAGUUUCAAAUUUGUAUUUUAUUCAAAAAUGUGAAUGCCCAGAAAUAGGGGUUUACAAUUAGCCUAUGGUGGUAAAUCCAUACUCUUAAAACUUUCUACGAUACUCAAAAUCAAUAUUUAUUUUUUUGUCACAAACCAAAAACUACUCUCAUGACUCGGUUCACCUAUAUUCCCUUAUCACAAAGAGAAUUGCCAACUUUCAAAUAACGGUGCUUGAAUUAGUUGAGAAAUAAUUUUAAAAAUGAAAUGUGUGAUAAGCUACUAAAUCACAGUACCAUAUACGAAUGAAAAUACUCCUUGCUUAGAAAAUAAGUACGUGUACAUGUGAGCAAAGUCCCUUCUUUGAUUUCGAACAAAAUACAUAAAAAACACAAAAAGCCUAAGAUAACAUCAUUUUUUUUGCUGAUUAAUAAAGAAUAUAGAAAACAAUUAUUGGAUAUACUUUUUCGAUGGCACUUAUAUAUUCAACACCUUCAUGGUAUAGACCUAUCACUCACAUAAUAAGAGUUAAAAUAGUGAUUACUCAUACAAAAACCCCUUAAAUAAGUAUUUAAUAUUUUAUUUAGUAUAAGUUAAAUUAUAGCAAUGUGGAAUGUGUAUUUUGGUAUAGACUACAAUCUGUUUCUAGAGGUUUAAUUGCGCUGAGUUUUUACAAAAAUAUAAAUUUACUUUCUGCACAAUAUAAUUUUUUAUUGGACAUUAUUAAAGUUUUUACAAAUUAUCUUCAAUUAUCUCAAUUGUCUUUAACUCAUUUUUAUACUAUUUUGUACUAUAAGAUGUUUAAAUUAUUUCUAUAUAUUGAUUUAUAUCUUAGUUUAUUUCUGUUUAUCUUAGUUUAUCUUUUCUUUAUUUUGAAUUUAAAAAUAAACUGAUUUUAAAUACUUUAAUGUAAUACUCAAAGAAUGGAAAGUGCUAAAUAAAAGCCUACUAUCAUUGAAUGAAAAAAUAAAUCUGCUUCAAAAUUGAAUUGAAAAAAAUGUAAAUUUCUUGUAAAACCAAAAUUGACUAUUUAUUUAAUCUAAAUAAAAGCUUUUCUUGUUGGUGAAAUAUAUUUGUAGGCUAUAUUGAAUAGAUUACCAGGCCACUCAUGCCAUCGAGAAUGUGGCGCCGCCUGUCAUCCUGGUCAGUGCCCCAACUUCGCAAGUCCUGCUCUGAGUUAUAUUGUUUUAGUCGACCACUGCUACGUUUUCGCCUCAAGCGCUGCUUUGCUGUCUUAUCUCUGUCAUAGAAAAGUCUUGUUUUUAUGUCGGAGUAAGUUGUCAUGAUGAAGAAAACUGUAUGAUUUUAUUGGGAUGUCAUUUUUCUGAAGUAGUGUGUGUGAGGAUCAAACUAGUGUCAAUUUUGUGUGUUAUUAAGGUUAAUGAGCACAUCAACAUAAAACAAAACUUUUCAAUCAGUUGUUUAAUCAAUAAAAUAAAUGAGUUAAAAUAAAUGUCUUUUAAUCUUAGAAAUCAUGUAUAAGAAGAUGAAGAAAUAAUAACGUACUCAUAAAUUUUCCAAAUUAUUAUUAUAGUCAUAUGCUUAUCAUUCCACAAUAAUUUUGUAAAUUUCAGUUCAAGCUCUUUUUUUUUUAAUUGUUCUUUGUAAUGGAACCACAUGUACAUUUAAUUGAAAUGCCUGUUGAGUGCUCUUAUUUUCUGGUUUGUUCAAUAGAAAUCAGUAUUAAUUCAAAUGUUAAAUUUUUUAAUAAUAUUUGAUCAGGAUAAUGUUACAAUUGCAGAGCGGUUGGAUGUGGAUUUCAGCUGGAGUAUUGGCAGGCGGUCUUGCAGUGAAAUAUGUUGGAUUUCGGUCGCGAGUUGAUCCCACUGGAAAUGGAUUUAAAAAUUUUGCAAAAACUGUUUGUUUUUUUAAGUUGGGCGCACUUUCCUCAGUUGUUUCAAUGUAUCUCAUUAAGUUGACAAAAAUACCAGAAUGCGUGCAGGCAUACCCAAGAACGACUUUUCUAAUAACAAUUUAUAGUAUGUUCAAACUUCGACCUGAUAUUGGUACCCUGCAGGAACGAUCUUUUAUCUCAAAAAUAAAUUUAAUUAUAGGUUCACUUAUUUUCUAUGCUCUUCCAAGUCUGUAUUAUAGUAAAUAUAGUAAUGAAAUCUUAGUUAAAACGUUGUUUUUUACAAUAAUCGUUGUAACUGUUUGCUUUGUUACUGGAACUAUUAUUCCUUUAGAAAACAAUCAUUUCAUUUUCAAUAGUUUUGGAUAUGAAAUUUCGCGGAUUGGAAUUGUAAUUGUCAUAGCAAGUGCAUUAGAUCGUUUAAUACUGUAUGAAAACUACAGGGUGUUUCCAAAAUACGUGAUUCACUUUGGAUCUGCUCUUGUAUUGUUGGGAGUGUUGACUGAUGACAUUCAACAAGUUAAGAACAAAUUUUUGGAGACUGCUCAAGAAGAAGAACCAUUAAAACCAAUUUUUGACCGGUCAGUUAUAAUUUUUAUCGAAUCUGUAUUAAUAUUUGGUAGAGUUGCAGACAUUUUAUAUUUUGUAAUGGAUCGGGAAUCUUAUAAAUGAGAAUAAUGCAAUGAAAAGGUUCUUUAUUGAGUAGCUUAUUUAAAACAAAUAUAAUGAUAAAUUUU